UACGUAGGGUGCGAGCGUUAAUCGGAAUUACUGGGCGUAAAGCGUGCGUAGGCGGUUCUCCAAGUCCGUUGUGAAAGCCCCGGGCUCAACCUGGGAACUGCAUUGGAAACUAACGGGCUCGAGUGUGGCAGAGGGGGGUGGAAUUCCACGUGUAGCAGUGAAAUGCGUAGAGAUGUGGAGGAACACCGAUGGCGAAGGCAGCCCCCUGGGCUAACACUGACGCUCAGGCACGAAAGCGUGGGGAGCAAACAGG
rnacentral:rRNA from 1 species